rnacentral:rRNA from 1 species
CCUACGGGAGGCAGCAGUAGGGAAUCUUCCACAAUGGGCGAAAGCCUGAUGGAGCAACGCCGCGUGGGUGAAGAAGGUCUUCGGAUCGUAAAACCCUGUUGUUAGAGAAGAAAGUGCGUGAGAGUAACUGUUCACGUUUCGACGGUAUCUAACCAGAAAGCCACGGCUAACUACGUGCCAGCAGUCGCGGUAAUACGUAGGUGGCAAGCGUUAUCCGGUUGUAUGGGGCGUAAAGGGAACGCGGGCGGUCUUUUAAGUCUGAUGUGAAAGCCUUCGGCUUAACCGGAGUAGUGCAUUGGAAACUGGGAGACUAGAGUGCAGGAGAGGGGAGUGGAACUCCAGGUGUAGCGGUGAAAUGCGUAGAUAUAGGGAAGAACACCAGUGGCGAAAGCGGGUCUCUGGUCUUUAACUGACGCUGAGGUUCGAAGGCGUGGGUAGCAAACAGGAUUAGAUACCCCAGUAGUC